CCUUCGGGAUACUAGUAAACUGGCGAACGCCGUUUAGUAACACGUAGGUAAUCUACCCUGGAGAUUGGGAUAACCUCGGGAAACCGGAGCUAAUACCGAAUAAUGCAGCGGAUCCUUCGGGAUAUGUUGUUAAAGCGGGCUUUUGCUCGCACUUUAGGAUGAGCCUGCGUCCGAUUAGCUUGUUGGUGGGGUAAUNGCCUACCAAGGCGAUGAUCGGUAGCUGGUCUGAGAGGACGAUCAGCCACACUGGGAUUGAGAUACGGCCCAGACUCCUACGGGAGGCAGCAGUGGGGAANUUUGCGCAAUGGGCGAAAGCCUGACGCAGCAACGCCGCGUGGUCGAUGAAGCUUUUCGGAGUGUAAAGAUCUGUCGUGAGGGAAGAAUAACUUGGAUGCAAAUAGUUUUCAAGUCUGACGGUACCUUACAAGAAAGCACCGGCUAACUUCGUGCCAGCAGCCGCGGUAAUACGAGGGGUGCUAGCGUUGUCCGGAAUCAUUGGGCGUAAAGGGUCCGUAGGUGUCUUUGUAAGUCGUUUGUUACAUCCACCGGCUCAACCGGUGGCCUGCAAUCGAAACUGCAAGGAUAGAGUUCGAGAGAGGAAAGUGGAAUUCCUGGUGUAGCGGUGACAUGCGUAGAUAUCAGGAGGAACACCAAUGGCGAAGGCAGCUUUCUGGCUCGAUACUGACACUGAGGGACGAAAGCGUGGGUAGCGAACAGGAUUAGAUACCCUGGUAGUCCACGCCGUAAACGAUGAGUACUUGAUGUCGGAGGAUUCGACCCCUUCGGUAUCGUAGCUAACGCGUUAAGUACUCCGCCUGGGGACUACGGC
rnacentral:rRNA from 1 species